rnacentral:tRNA from 4 species
GCUCCGGUAGCUCAGUUGGAUAGAGCAGCCGCCUCCUAAGCGGCAGGUCGGACGUUCAAAUCGUCUCCGGGGCACCA